CAGCAGCCGCGGGAAUACGAAGGGGGCUAGCGUUGCUCGGAAUCACUGGGCGUAAAGGGUGCGUAGGCGGGUCUUUAAGUCAGGGGUGAAAUCCUGGAGCUCAACUCCAGAACUGCCUUUGAUACUGAGGAUCUUGAGUUCGGGAGAGGUGAGUGGAACUGCGAGUGUAGAGGUGAAAUUCGUAGAUAUUCGCAAGAACACCAGUGGCGAAGGCGGCUCACUGGCCCGAUACUGACGCUGAGGCACGAAAGCGUGGGGAGCAAACAGGAUUAGAGACCCCAGUAGUCCCUGUCUCUUAUAU
rnacentral:rRNA from 1 species